UACGUAGGGGGCAAGCGUUGUCCGGAUUUACUGGGCGUAAAGAGCGUGUAGGCGGCCAAGCAGGUCCGUUGUGAAAACUGGAGGCUUAACCUCCAGACGUCGACGGAAACCGCGUGGCUAGAGUCCGGAAGAGGAGAGUGGAAUUCCUGGUGUAGCGGUGAAAUGCGCAGAUAUCAGAAAGAACACCAAUGGCGAAGGCAGCUCUCUGGGACGGUACUGACGCUGAGACGCGAAAGCGUGGGGAGCGAACAGG
rnacentral:rRNA from 1 species